GACGAACGCUGGCGGCGUGCUUAACACAUGCAAGUCGAACGGAAAGGCCCUGCUUUUGUGGGGUGCUCGAGUGGCGAACGGGUGAGUAACACGUGAGUAACCUGCCCUUGACUUUGGGAUAACUUCAGGAAACUGGGGCUAAUACCGGAUAGGAGCUCCUGCUGCAUGGUGGGGGUUGGAAAGUUUCGGCGGUUGGGGAUGGACUCGCGGCUUAUCAGCUUGUUGGUGGGGUAGUGGCUUACCAAGGCUUUGACGGGUAGCCGGCCUGAGAGGGUGACCGGCCACAUUGGGACUGAGAUACGGCCCAGACUCCUACGGGAGGCAGAAGUGGGGAAUAUUGCACAAUGGGCGGAAGCCUGAUGCAGCAACGCCGCGUGCGGGAUGACGGCCUUCGUGUUGUAAACCGCUUGCGCCUGUGACGAAGCGUGAGUGACGGUAAUGGGUAAAGAAGCACCGGCUAACUACGUG
rnacentral:rRNA from 1 species